AGAGUUUGAUCAUGGCUCAGAUUGAACGCUGGCGGCAGGCCUAACACAUGCAAGUCGAGCGGUAGCACAGAGAGCUUGCUCUCGGGUGACGAGCGGCGGACGGGUGAGUAAUGUCUGGGAAACUGCCUGAUGGAGGGGGAUAACUACUGGAAACGGUAGCUAAUACCGCAUAAUGUCGCAAGACCAAAGUGGGGGACCUUCGGGCCUCAUGCCAUCAGAUGUGCCCAGAUGGGAUUAGCUAGUAGGUGGGGUAAUGGCUCACCUAGGCGACGAUCCCUAGCUGGUCUGAGAGGAUGACCAGCCACACUGGAACUGAGACACGGUCCAGACUCCUACGGGAGGCAGCAGUGGGGAAUAUUGCACAAUGGGCGCAAGCCUGAUGCAGCCAUGCCGCGUGUGUGAAGAAGGCCUUCGGGUUGUAAAGCACUUUCAGCGGGGAGGAAGGCGNNNNNCGAUUGACGUUACCCGCAGAAGAAGCACCGGCUAACUCCGUGCCAGCAGCCGCGGUAAUACGGAGGGUGCAAGCGUUAAUCGGAAUUACUGGGCGUAAAGCGCACGCAGGCGGUCUGUCAAGUCGGAUGUGAAAUCCCCGGGCUCAACCUGGGAACUGCAUUCGAAACUGGCAGGCUAGAGUCUUGUAGAGGGGGGUAGAAUUCCAGGUGUAGCGGUGAAAUGCGUAGAGAUCUGGAGGAAUACCGGUGGCGAAGGCGGCCCCCUGGACAAAGACUGACGCUCAGGUGCGAAAGCGUGGGGAGCAAACAGGAUUAGAUACCCUGGUAGUCCACGCCGUAAACGAUGUCGAUUUGGAGGUUGUGCCCUUGAGGCGUGGCUUCCGGAGCUAACGCGUUAAAUCGACCGCCUGGGGAGUACGGCCGCAAGGUUAAAACUCAAAUGAAUUGACGGGGGCCCGCACAAGCGGUGGAGCAUGUGGUUUAAUUCGAUGCAACGCGAAGAACCUUACCUGGUCUUGACAUCCACAGAACUUUCCAGAGAUGGAUUGGUGCCUUCGGGAACUGUGAGACAGGUGCUGCAUGGCUGUCGUCAGCUCGUGUUGUGAAAUGUUGGGUUAAGUCCCGCAACGAGCGCAACCCUUAUCCUUUGUUGCCAGCGGUCCGGCCGGGAACUCAAAGGAGACUGCCAGUGAUAAACUGGAGGAAGGUGGGGAUGACGUCAAGUCAUCAUGGCCCUUACGACCAGGGCUACACACGUGCUACAAUGGCAUAUACAAAGAGAAGCGACCUCGCGAGAGCAAGCGGACCUCAUAAAGUAUGUCGUAGUCCGGAUUGGAGUCUGCAACUCGACUCCAUGAAGUCGGAAUCGCUAGUAAUCGUAGAUCAGAAUGCUACGGUGAAUACGUUCCCGGGCCUUGUACACACCGCCCGUCACACCAUGGGAGUGGGUUGCAAAAGAAGUAGGUAGCUUAACCUUCGGGAGGGCGCUUACCACUUUGUGAUUCAUGACUGGGGUGAAGUCGUAACAAGGUAACCGUAGGGGAACCUGCGGUUGGAUCACCU
rnacentral:rRNA from 1 species